AGUAAAUCCCCAUUUUAUAUUUUAAUCAAUUUGUUCCACAUAAAGUAUGUCUGGGGCGAUAAGAGCAAGUGUUAGAAAACAAUAAAGCACUGGACGAUUCAUGGGAUUUGCCUGCCAGUCCCUGUCUUCUAGCAGCGUUUGCCUUGAGAAGAGGAGCCAAGGAGAGAGAGAAAAGGUCGCACUGUCUCUGCAGGGGAAGUCUCGGCUUAUCUGUCACAGCCUGGUCCCGCUUAGCUGCGGCUGCUCAAUAUUUGCUCAGAGGCAGAGGCAGAGGCAAGGGGCUUGGGACAUGACUGCAUUGGUCCCAGGAAGCAGGCCAAGAAACUGGAUAUGCUGGUGAAGACAAGAGACUCCCCUGAACGAAGUGAAAGCACCAGCUGGAAGAAAAGUGUGAGAGCAAUGGGGCACCAUGGAUGGGAGAGGAGUGUGAGCCCUAGAGCCCCGGAGCACAGUCAUUAAGCCUUGGUCACCGGUUCUGCAGGAGGCGGUUGGGCUGUAAGCUAGGACCCUUCCAUUUUCACAGGCACUGAGCACUCAAUGAGCGAAGUUGGAAGCCUCAGGCAAGUGAUUUGAGGACUUUGCUAUAAAGAUGCUGCAGCCAGUGUGUGUCUGGCCUGAAGAUGGACACAUGUCAGUGGGACAAAAUUGACUGCAGGAAAGACUAGACAUAGACUCGGUUGAUUUUAGACAAGGAUGCCAAGGGAACUCAAAGGGAAUGAAAACUCGUGCUGAAAGUGCUGGGGAGGUGGCUCAUUGUCCUCGUUUUGCCUCCGGACUCUAAGGUGAUUCUAGUGAUUGAUGGACUUACAUAUAAGACUAGAGCUACAAAAUCUCUACACAAAAAUAGACAAAAGGCUUGUGGCUUUAGGAGCAGAAAGAUAGGGUUUUCUCAUAUUUUUUUUUUUGGUUUUACACAAAAGAGUUGUGCAAGAACUUGAGAACUGGAUUUUAUCACAAUUAAACAGAUCUGCCCUUCAAAAACCAAGAAACAUCAUCAAUAAUUACUAGAGGAAAGCCACAGAUUGCAAUAAACGUAUCUAUACUAUUUAAAAAACAGUUGGCAAUUGGUUUGAUUCCUGUAAUCUGUUCCAUUCAGGAGACAGAGAGAUUGUGGACUUCAUGCCAGCUAGGUACUAGUGAGUCACCACCUCACAGGACGAAGAGAAAAACAAGAAUAUGCAAACAAAAAAACCACUUACACCUCUACCACCACCCCAAAACCCUGCAGCAUAUGUAGCAAAGGAGUUUUAUCUAAAUAUAAGAUUUUAUACGCGUGCGCGCGCACACGCAUACACACACACACAUACACUCAAUAAGAAGACACAAUGAGAAGGUGUAAAAACUGGUCAAAAUAUUUCAAUAAACACUUUGGGAAAUGCAAAUAAAUCUGCAGAGCAAUGCCUCCUCUCUUUCUCCAGGACAUUCUAAAAGUGAGAGUCACGGAACCCCAGAGUUGGAGAGGAUUUGAAAUGUGGUCUGACCAUAUUGGGAGCCAGCCUGUUUCUUGUAAAGCUAAACACUUACUCACAACAUGACCCAGUGAUCUACUCUCAGAAAAUCACCCGAGAGAACUGAAAACACACUGCCCUUCAAAGCACAGUCGAUAAACAUUUGGGACUGCUCACUUUACUAUAUGCUCCAACUGGACCCUGUCUGCACUCAGGGAGUGAAUAAAGAAAUCACAGGUGGGCUCUGGGGUGUGCUUAGCAACAAAGGGAGAGACCCUUGACAACAUGAGCGAAUGCCGCAAUCACUGUGGCAAAUGAGAAAAGACGCACAGGACUGUAUGUGACAUUGUCUUAAAUUGGGGGCAUCCAGGGUACCAGAAAUUGCAAAACAUAUAAAUUACAGUGAUGUUUUCACUCACCAAAAUGUCUGUUCCUAUGAAGUCAAGAAAGGGGGCAUGGUUUUCUGGAGCUGUGGGUUGGGAGGGGUUAGUUAUAGAAACAGAAACGGAAACAGCAGCCCCACAUUCUCAGUUUUGGUUGUGUGGUUGGUAGUGUUGUGUUUUCCAAAGUUAUGGGACAUGAACAUUUAAUAUAUGCCUGCUCUUGCUUUUGAAACAGGGUCUUGUUGUAGAGCCCAGGCUGGCCUCGAACUUGGGAUCUUGCCACCGCAGCCUCCUGAGUGCUAGAAUUACUGGGGUGAGCCACCGUGCCCAGUGCUGUAUGCAAUUUAUGGACUGUAUUACACUGGAAUAGAACUGAAGAACCAGAAGUGAAGAACCUUUGAACAGACAUGGGUCUAGUCAAGGCGACUGUGAAUAGCUUGUAUCUUUCUGGUAUGACAAUGAGCUCAACCCAGGCGUCUGCCCUCUGGGGGAAUCUCUCCCCCCUGAGAGAGCCUGUUUAGAAGUGGUUGGGAGCUGUGGUCUAGUUCUGCAUUGUGCUGCAGAGAAUUAA